AAUACCGGAUAGUUCCUUGAACCGCAUGGUUCAAGGAUGAAAGACGGUUUCGGCUGUCACUUACAGAUGGACCCGCGGCGCAUUAGCUAGUUGGUGAGGUAACGGCUCACCAAGGCGACGAUGCGUAGCCGACCUGAGAGGGUGAUCGGCCACACUGGGACUGAGACACGGCCCAGACUCCUACGGGAGGCAGCAGUAGGGAAUCUUCCGCAAUGGACGAAAGUCUGACGGAGCAACGCCGCGUGAGUGAUGAAGGUUUUCGGAUCGUAAAGCUCUGUUGUUAGGGAAGAACAAGUGCAAGAGUAACUGCUUGCACCUUGACGGUACCUAACCAGAAAGCCACGGCUAACUACGUGCCAGCAGCCGCGGUAAUACGUAGGUGGCAAGCGUUGUCCGGAAUUAUUGGGCGUAAAGGGCUCGCAGGCGGUUUCUUAAGUCUGAUGUGAAAGCCCCCGGCUCAACCGGGGAGGGUCAUUGGAAACUGGGAAACUUGAGUGCAGAAGAGGAGAGUGGAAUUCCACGUGUAGCGGUGAAAUGCGUAGAGAUGUGGAGGAACACCAGUGGCGAAGGCGACUCUCUGGUCUGUAACUGACGCUGAGGAGCGAAAGCGUGGGGAGCGAACAGGAUUAGAUACCCUGGUAGUCCACGCCGUAAACGAUGAGUGCUAAGUGUUAGGGGGUUUCCGCCCCUUAGUGCUGCAGCUAACGCAUUAAGCACUCCGCCUGGGGAGUACGGUCGCAAGACUGAAACUCAAAGGAAUUGACGGGGGCCCGCACAAGCGGUGGAGCAUGUGGUUUAAUUCGAAGCAACGCGAAGAACCUUACCAGGUCUUGACAUCCUCUGACAACCCUAGAGAUAGGGCUUUCCCUUCGGGGACAGAGUGACAGGUGGUGCAUGGUUGUCGUCAGCUCGUGUCGUGAGAUGUUGGGUUAAGUCCCGCAACGAGCGCAACCCUUGAUCUUAGUUGCCAGCAUUCAGUUGGGCACUCUAAGGUGACUGCCGGUGACAAACCGGAGGAAGGUGGGGAUGACGUCAAAUCAUCAUGCCCCUUAUGACCUGGGCUACACACGUGCUACAAUGGACAGAACAAAGGGCUGCGAGACCGCAAGGUUUAGCCAAUCCCACAAAUCUGUUCUCAGUUCGGAUCGCAGUCUGCAACUCGACUGCGUGAAGCUGGAAUCGCUAGUAAUCGCGGAUCAGCAUGCCC
rnacentral:rRNA from 1 species